rnacentral:rRNA from 1 species
CGUAGGUGCGAGCGUUGUCCGGAAUUACUGGCGUAAGAGUUCGUAGGCGGUUGUCGCGUCGCUUGUGAAACCCGGGCUCAACUUCGGGCUUGCAGGCGAUACGGGCAGACUUGAGUGUUCAGGGAGACUGGAAUUCCUGGUGUAGCGGUGAAUGCGCAGAUAUCAGGAGGAACACCGGUGGCGAAGGCGGGUCUCUGGGGAACAACUGACGCUGAGGACGAAGCGUGGUAGCAAACAGGAUU